UACGAAGGGGGCUAGCGUUGCUCGGAAUUACUGGGCGUAAAGGGCGCGUAGGCGGCACUGUUAGUCAGGCGUGAAAUUCCUGGGCUCAACCUGGGGACUGCGCUUGAUACGGCAGAGCUUGAGGAUGGAAGAGGGUCGCGGAAUUCCCAGUGUAGAGGUGAAAUUCGUAGAUAUUGGGAAGAACACCGGUGGCGAAGGCGGCGACCUGGUCCAUUACUGACGCUGAGGCGCGACAGCGUGGGGAGCGAACAGG
rnacentral:rRNA from 1 species